rfam:Schistosoma mattheei strain Denwood, Zambia genome assembly, scaffold: SMTD_scaffold0023282
AGCUUUUCGAAUUCGUGCAGAGAUUCCGUCAAACGCCAACCCAUUAGGGCUGACCAAACUCCCAAGAUAAGUGAAGUU